CAGUCGCCGCGGGAAUACGUAGGUGGCAAGCGCUGUCCGGAAUUAUUGGGCGUAAAGGGCUCGCAGGCGGUUUCUUAAGUCUGAUGUGGAAGCCCCCGGCUCAACCGGGGAGGGUCAUUGGAAACUGGGAAACUUGAGUGCAGAAGAGGAGAGUGGAAUUCCACGUGUAGCGGUGAAAUGCGUAGAGAUGUGGAGGAACACCAGUGGCGAAGGCGACUCUCUGGUCUGUAACUGACGCUGAGGAGCGAAAGCGUGGGGAGCGAACAGGAUUAGAUACCCCCGUAGUCCCUGUCUCUUAUAC
rnacentral:rRNA from 1 species